rnacentral:rRNA from 1 species
AACGAACGCUGGCGGCAUGCCUAACACAUGCAAGUCGAACGAGACCUUCGGGUCUAGUGGCGCACGGGUGCGUAACGCGUGGGAACCUGCCCUUAGGUUCGGAAUAACUCCCCGAAAGGGGUGCUAAUACCGGAUAAUGUCCUCGGACCAAAGAUUUAUCGCUUUUGGAUGGGCCCGCGUUGGAUUAGCUAGUUGGUAGGGUAAAAGCCUACCAAGGCGACGAUCCAUAGCUGGUCUGAGAGGAUGAUCAGCCACACUGGAACUGAGACACGGCCCAGACUCCUACGGGAGGCAGCAGUGUGGAAUAUUGGACAAUGGGCGAAAGCCUGAUCCAGCAAUGCCGCGUGAGUGAUGAAGGCCUUAGGGUUGUAAAGCUCUUUUACCCGGGAUGAUAAUGACAGUACCGGGAGAAUAAGCUCCGGCUAACUCCGUG